UCUUUGUCUCCCUCCAAUAGAGUCUUUGUAUUGUCUGUUUCUUCUAUAUCUGUACCACAGGAUUGGAAGGAAGCAUACCUUGAUCCAAAGCAGAGGGCAACUAUGGUUGAAGAGAUGAAGGCUUUGGCAAAAAAUGAGACCUAGGAUCUUGUUAGCCUUCCAUUGGAGAAGAAACUGGCUAGACACAAAUGGGUGUUUACUGUAAAAUGUAAAGCAAAUGGCUCCAUUAAAAAAAUAUAAAGCCAAGCUAGCGGCAAAAGGCUUUACUUGAGACAUAUAGGGUAGAUUAUCAGGAAACUUUUGGCCCUGUUGUAAAGAUGAAUACUAGCAGGAUCUUACUGUCAUGUGCUGUAAACCUUGAAUGGGACAUAUAGCAAUUUGAUAUUAAAAAUGUUUUCUUUUUUUUCAAGGAGAUUUAGAAGAUGAGGUCUACAUGGGGAUUCCUCCAAGAUUUAAGGAUAAAAAGACCAAACGAAAAGCCUACAGAUUGAAGAAGGCAUUAUAUAGCUUGAAGCAGUCACCAAGAGCAUGGUUGGACAAGUUUAGUAAGGCCAUGAUUUCCUUUUGAUUCUAUCAAGCAAUGCUUUUGAUAAUCCAACCCAUAUGUCUAAGUAAAUCCUUUUACCACCAACCUGGCCUUAUAUCUUUCAAUGGAACUAUUUUCUUUAUGCUCUAUAGUGAACACCUAUUUGCAUCCAACCAGUUUCUUCCCCAGAGGAAGAAUAACAAGAUCCCAUGUCUAAUUUUUUUGCCAAAACCUUCAUCUCUUCUACUAUAAUUGCCUUUC
rnacentral:misc_RNA from 1 species